CCUACGGGGGGCAGCAGUGGGGAAUAUUGCACAAUGGGGGAAACCCUGAUGCAGCGACGCCGCGUGAGUGAAGAAGUAAUUCGUUAUGCAAAGCUCUAUCAGCAGGGAAGAAAAUGACGGUACUUGAGUAAGAAGCCCCGGCUAACUACGUGUCAGCAGCCGCGGUAAUACGGAGGGGGCAAGCGUUAUCCGGAUUUACUGGGUGUAAAGGGAGCGUAGACGGCAGUGCAAGUCUGGAGUGAAAGGCGGGGGCUCAACCCCCGGACUGCUCUGGAAACUGUACGGCUGGAGUGCAGGAGAGGUAAGUGGAAUUCCUAGUGUAGCAGUGAAAUGCGUAGAUAUUGGGAGGAACACCAGUGGCGAAGGCGGCUUACUGGACUGUAACUGACGUUGAGGCUCGAAGGCGUGGGGAGCGAACAGGAUUAGAUACCCCAGUAGUC
rnacentral:rRNA from 1 species